AUAUUGGAGGGCAAGUCUGGUGCCAGCAGCCGCGGUAAUUCCAGCUCCAAUAGCGUAUAUUAAAGUUGUUGCGGUUAAAAAGCUCGUAGUUGGAUCUCAGCUCACGCUAAGUGGUCCACUUAAUGGUGGUUACUACUUAGCUGAGCAUUUUACAGAUUUGUCUCUUGAUGCUCUUCACCGAGUGUCAAGAGUGGUCUGUACGUUUACUUUGAAAAAAUUAGAGUGCUUAAAGCAGGCAACUCGCCCGAAUAAUCUUGCAUGGAAUAAUGGAAUAGGACCUUGGUUCUAUUUUGUUGGUCUCCGGAAUCUGAGGUAAUGAUUAAGAGGGACAGACGGGGGCAUUCGUAUUGCGCCGCUAGAGGUGAAAUUCUUGGACCGGCGCAAGACGAACUACAGCGAAAGCAUUUGCCAAGAAUGUUUUCAUUAAUCAAGAACGAAAGUUAGAGGUUCGAAGGCGAUCAGAUACCGCUCCUAGUUCUAACCAUAAACGAUGCCA
rnacentral:rRNA from 1 species